UCCUGGUGGGGAUUUGGGUUUCCCUGAUUUAAUUUCGUCCUUCCCUGAUUUAAUUUUGUCCUUCCUUGAUUUAAUUUUGGUCUUCCUUGAUUUAAUUUUGGGGUUCCCCGAUUUAAUUUUGGGGUUCCCCGAUUUAAUUUCGGGGUUCCUCAAUAAAAUUUUGACCCCCCCAGGUACCCUUUUAUUUUUUUGGGGUGUCCCCAAAAAAUUCCCCCGAUGUCUCUGGGGCUUCCCUUGAACCUCCCUCUGCCUCCAGGUAAGAAAAAAAACCCCCAAAAAUUAAAAUAAACACCAAAAAAACCCCCCAAAAAAUUAAGAAAAAAAUAUUUAAAACCCACAAAAUUUUAAUUAAUUAAUAUUUUUGGUUUUUUUGUUAAUUAAAACAGAGGAAGAAGCCCCAAAUUCUGCCACCCCCCAGGAGCUGGGAGCCAACCCGGGGCUGGCCCGGCUGCUCCGGGAUUUGGGGGGGCUGCUGGGGGGGGAUGGGCUGAGCCCCCCGCUGCAGAAGGAGCUGCGCCAGGCCGAGGUGUCCCUGUGCCGGGCCCGGGCGCUUUGGCUGCGCCUGGAGCUGCUCUGGAGGAUUUUGGGGGAGCUGAUCCGGGACCCCCGAGAUUUGGAGCCUUCUGUGAGUCCCAAAAUCCCCCAAAAAAUCCUCCCAAAAUCCCCCCAAAAUCCCCUCAAAAUCCUCCCAAAAUCCCCCCAAAAUUCCCUGAAAAAUUCCCAAAAAAUUCCCAAAAAUUCCCCAAAAAUUGCCCUUAAAUUCCACCUAAAUUCCCUCAAAAAUUCCCCCAAAAUUUCCCCAAAAUUCCCUCAAAAAAUUCCCCCCAAAUUCCUCAAAAAUUCCGAAAAAUUCUCUCAAAAGUUCCCCCUAAAAUCCUUCAAAAUCCCCCCAAAAUUCCCUCAAAAUUUCCCAAAAAUUCCCAAAAAUUCCCUCAAAAUUCCCAAAAAAAUUCCCCCAAAAUCCCCAAAAAAUUCCCAAAAAAUUCCCCAAAAUCCUCUAAAAAUUCUCUUAAAAAUUCCCAAAAAAUUCCCCCAAAAUCCCCCCAAAAUUCCCUCAAAUUUCCCNNNNNNNNNNNNNNNNNNNNUUGUUUGGAUUUUUGGGGUUUUUGGGUUGGAUUUUGGGUUGGAUUUUGGGGUUUUUGGGUUGGAUUUUGGUGGUUUUGGGGUGAAUUUUGGGGUUUUUGGGGUCCCUGGGUUGGAUUUUGGUGGUUUUGGGGUGAAUUUUGGGGUUUUUGGUUUGGAUUUUGGGGUUUUUAGGGUGAAUUUUGGGAUUUUUGGGGUUUUUGGGGUCCCUGGGUUGGAUUUUGGUGGUUUUGGGGUGAAUUUUGGGGUUUUUGGGUUGGAUUUUUGGGGUUUUUGGGUUCCUGGGUCGGAUUUUGGUGAUUUUGGGGUGAUUUUUGGGGUUUUUGGGUUGGAUUUUGGGGUUUUUGGGGAUUUCUGGGUUGGAUUUCGGGGUUUUUGGGUCCCUGGUUUGGAUUUUUGGGGUUUUGGGGUGAAUUUUGGGGUUUCUGGGCUGAAUUUUGGGAUUUUUGGGGUUUUUGGGUCUUUGGGUUGGAUUUUGGGUUGGAUUUUGGGGUUUUUUGGUUUGGAUUUUGGGGUUUUUGGGGUCCCUGGUUUGGAUUUUUGGGGUUUUUGGGGUCCCUGGGUUGGAUUUUGGGGUGAAUUUUGUGUUUUUUGGGUCCCCCCAGGCCGAGGUGUCCCUGUGCCGGGCCCGGGCGCUUUGGCUGCGCCUGGAGCUGCUCUGGAGGAUUUUGGGGGAGCUGAUCCGGGACCCCCGAGAUUUGGAGCCUUCUGUGAGUCCCAAAAUCCCCCAAAAAAUCCUCCCAAAAUCCCCCCAAAAUCCCCUCAAAAUCCUCCCAAAAUCCCCCCAAAAUUCCCUGAAAAAUUCCCAAAAAAUUCCCAAAAAUUCCCCAAAAAUUGCCCUUAAAUUCCACCUAAAUUCCCUCAAAAAUUCCCCCAAAAUUUCCCCAAAAUUCCCUCAAAAAAUUCCCCCCAAAUUCCUCAAAAAUUCCGAAAAAUUCUCUCAAAAGUUCCCCCUAAAAUCCUUCAAAAUCCCCCCAAAAUUCCCUCAAAAUUUCCCAAAAAUUCCCAAAAAUUCCCUCAAAAUUCCCAAAAAAAUUCCCCCAAAAUCCCCAAAAAAUUCCCAAAAAAUUCCCCAAAAUCCUCUAAAAAUUCUCUUAAAAAUUCCCAAAAAUUCCCCAAAAAUCCCUAAAAAAUCCUCCCAAAAUCCCCCCAAAAUCCCUCAAAUCCACCCAAAUUCCCCCAAAUUUCCCCCAAAAUCCCUCAAAAUCCCCCCCCAAAUUCCCUCCAAUUUUCCCAAAUUGUCCCAAAUUCCCUCAAAUUCCUCCAAAAUUCCCCUGAAUUCCCUCAAAUUCCCCCAAAUUCCCCCCAAAGCCCCCCCAAAUUCCCUCAAAUUUCCCCCCAAAUCCCUCAAAAAUUCCCAAAAAAUUGCCCUUAAAUUCCACCCAAAUUCCCUCAAAAAUUCCCCCAAAAUUUCCCCAAAAUUCCCUCAAAAAAUUCCCCCCAAAUUCCUCAAAAAUUCCCUCAAAAAUUCCCAAAAAUUCCCCAAAAAAUUCCCAAAAACUUCCCAAAAAAUUCCUCAAAAUCCUCCAAAAAUUCCCUCAAAAAUUCCUAAAAAAUUCCCUCAAAAUUCCCCCAAAAAAUCCCCCCAAAAUCCCCCAAAAUAUCCCCCAAAAUCCCCCCAAAAUUCCCUCAAAAAUUCCCAAAAAAUCCCCCCAAAAUCCUUAAAAAUCCUCCCAAAAUUCCCUCAAAAAUUCCCUCAAAAAUUCCCAAGAAAUUCCCAAAAAAUUCCCCAAAAUCCUCUAAAAAUUCCCUCAAAAAUUCCCAAAAAUUCCCCAAAAAUUCCCAAAAAAUUCCCCAAAAUCCUCCAAAAAUUCCCUCAAAAAUUCCUAAAAAAUUCCCUCAAA
ensembl:lncRNA